rnacentral:rRNA from 1 species
CACGCCCUAAACGAUGCGAACUGGAUGUUGGGUGCAAUUUGGCACGCAGUAUCGAAGCUAACGCGUUAAGUUCGCCGCCUGGGGANCAACGCGAAGAACCUUACCUGGCCUUGACAUGUCGAGAACUUUCCAGAGAUGGAUUGGUGCCUUCGGGAACUCGAACACAGGUGC